rnacentral:rRNA from 1 species
UAGCUGUAGGUGAACCUGCUGCCGGAUCAUUACUUUAUGUGAUGUUCAAAUUUGAAUUCGCAAUAUAAAUAUAUUGUUGUGUAACGGCUGUCGCUGGUGUCUAGGUGUUGCUGAUACAGUUGUGAACGUCCGUGGCUGUAUGUGUGGUGACAUGAUAGGACUCUUAAUGAGUUUAAGACUUAAUGAGCCUCUUAAGUGGGGACGCCAGCACUCUUUUUUCUCUAUAUUUAAAAAAAACAAAAUUUCUAGCCUUAUCGGUGGAUCACUCGGCUCGUGGAUCGAUGAAGAACGCAGCAAACUGCGAUAAUUUGUGCGAACUGCAGAAACCUUGAGCACAAAAGUUUUGAACGCAUAUUGACGCAUUGGGGUCAAACCUUUUGCAACGUCUGGCUCAGGGUCGUUUUCUUUUAAAGCGAAAGCUUUAAUUUAUAUAUGCUAUUGAUGCUUUAUAUUUUAAGAGGUUUGUUGUUUGUCAUAAUUUUAUAAAUAUAACUACAAAAAUCAAGCAACUUUGACCUGAACUCAGUCGAGAGC